AAAACCUAUGGAAUUGACAAAGAUUGAUUUUGGAUAUUGUUUGCCGGUGGGAAAGGAUGGGCGGGCCGAACUUUUCUUCGGCCGAUGAGGAUAUUGAUCUAUGAGGAAUAGCUAAAGUCGGGCUUAAUGCUUUCGCUCGACCCACUUAAUAUCAAAGUCCUUCAAUACUACCAACUUUCUGCUCAUCAACUUCACCCGAACUCAU
rnacentral:misc_RNA from 1 species